AUUAGGGUUUCUAUUCCUAAUUUGGUUAGCAUUGUAAGCUUUAUAAAUAGAACUAAUUUUCUAUUGUUCAAUAGCUUUGAACUAUGAUUAUUAUUGAGAUUAACAAAAUUAUUGAAAAUUAGUUCUCUUUCACAAGGAUUGGUCCUUGUUCUUUAUUUGGUCUACAUCAAUAUAUAUAUAUAUAUUGCAAUUUGUUUUUGGUAAGAAUGAAUGAAAAAGUGAAAAGGGCUGGCACCAAAUUAUGUGGUAAGUUAUGUAAGUACUUAAAAAGCUGAAAACUAAAAGAGUGCAAAGGGUCCACCUAAGUGCAAAUAAACAAAAUUUAUGAUAUUUUAAUUUAAAUUAUAGGAAUUGAUAAAUUGACGGUAUAAUCAUUAAGGUUUAAGAGGUUCAAUGCAUUUCUGGUUGAAGCUGAACCUUGUGUUGUGAUAUUUUAUUUAAUUGUGAAUGAAAGUGUAAAACAGAUAGUGGUUUAAUUUUCUGGAUCUAAGCCUCUUGCUUCGCAUUUUCUCUAUGCUAUGUUGUGCAUUUUGCUCAUUGUUAAAGUUUAAACUCAAUAACUCCAAUGAAUGAACUUUUUUAAAAGAAGGUACUAGGAUGGAAAAAGUUUAUUACUUACAUUGGCUUUCUAAGUACCAAAUGCCUUUUGGUAUGAUGUAGCAACAGUUAUUUUCAAAUUCCUUGGGUUCUUAGAUGUUAAUUUUUGCCUAAUAGCUAAGAUUUAGGUCCUUCAAUGAUAGCUGAGAGAAAAGGUGGCCUUAUCCAACAGACUUGCUUUUCUGAUAAGUUGCAUUAUAUUGCAUUCACAGUUAAGUUGUUAAGGGUAUGAAAAGUUGGGAGCUAUAACAAUGCAUUGAUGCUGAUGAAAUGUAUAGUUUGUGAAAGUUUAUGAACUGAUAAUUUCUACCCUUUAAAUGUGAUGACAGAUGCUGUUGGUUAUGGAGACCCUCUUAUUGC
rnacentral:misc_RNA from 1 species